UACGUAGGUGGCCAGCGUUGUCCGGAUUUAUUGGGUUUAAAGGGUGCGUAGGCGGCUUUAUAAGUCAGUGCUGAAAUAUCCCGGCUUAACCGGGAGGGUGGCAUUGAUACUGCAGAGCUUGAGUGAAGUCGAGGUAGGCGGAAUUGACGGUGUAGCGGUGAAAUGCUUAGAUAUCGUCAAGAACACCGAUAGUGAAGACAGCUUACUAGACUUCAACUGACGCUGAGGCACGAAAGUGUGGGGAUCAAACAGG
rnacentral:rRNA from 1 species